rnacentral:rRNA from 1 species
UACAGAGGGUGCAAGCGUUGUUCGGAAUUACUGGGCGUAAAGCGCGUGUAGGCGGUUCGUAAAGUCGGAUGUGAAAGCCCUGGGCUUAACCCAGGAAGUGCAUCCGAAACUGGCGAGCUAGAGUACGAAAGAGGAUCGCGGAAUUCCCGGUGUAGAGGUGAAAUUCGUAGAUAUCGGGAGGAACACCGGUGGCGAAGGCGGCGAUCUGGGUCGAUACUGACGCUGAGGUGCGAAAGCGUGGGGAGCAAACAGG